GGUGACCGCUCCUCCCCUUCAGGUCCGGCAGCCCGGGGCUCUGCGCGCUGCCUGUUGACUUGCCUCCACCCUGCCCGCCUCUUGUAAGCAGUGCCCUCGUCAAGGCUCCUCCACUGCUCUAGUGAGGGGACGCGUGUUUCCAGCCGAGACCCACUGAUGGGGCUCCCCUGCCCAUCCAUUCAUCAGUGUCGCUCUCUUUAGGAAGCUUCACCUGAACACCCGAGACAAGAUCAGUUCACAGUCUUACUUGUUCCCAGAGCCCUCUUUUUGUCCCUCUGGGCACUUUUUGUGUUGUUUUUCCAAAGAUCCGCUUCUCCCUGAGCCUGCGGAGCCGGCUUUGAACCAGGCUGAUCAAACACCCGGCAGCUGUGUGAGGGGAGAGCUCAGGGCUCGGGGGAGAGGAAGCUGGAGGCAGGCAGAGCCGGAGCCCUGGGAACACAGACAAAACCCUGAAGAAUGCAGCAGUCACAAUGCCGUCCUGACUGUCACAAUGAUGCCCUGACCAUCACAAUGCCGCCCUGUGACGCCACCACAGCCGGGGCGACCAGCUGAGCUUGCAGCCCCAGGACUGGUGCUCCUCUCUUGGGAGGUGCAUGGGGCUCAGAAGGAAUAGGUGCCACGCAACUGUCCCCAAAUCCAGCUGAUUCCUCCCUCCAGGGGCAAAGUGGUGGCAAAGGUGUGGGCUCUGGGCUCAGAUCAGAUGGGUCUGCAUUUCAGUCUUGGUUCUGCUGCUCCUGGCUGUGCGACCUUGGCCUUCCUCUCUCCAAGCUGCGGUCUCCUCGUCUGCAAAGCAGGGACAACAAUGCUUGCUGCAGCCUGCUGUGAGGAUCAGAUGAGGCCGUGCACAAGGAGCGAUCAGCACGGACUGGAGCAGUGUCUCAUCUACACCAUGUCCCCAGACGGAGCACAGAGCCAGCCACCCAGCAGAUGCUUGAGAAAGUUUGCCAGUCCCUGCCCUAGAGGAUGGCGGGGACACAAGAUUGAAGGAACUGGGACCCCUGAAUCUUUAUGUGGACGAAAUUGGUCUGCCAGCCAGGAACAGCCACUCACCUUGGACUCUUUUGUGAAGUCUAUCUCUCCACCACCUGGAAUCUGGGCUGGCCUUGUGACUUGCUUUGACCAACAGAUUAUGGCAGAAGGGACACUAUAUAACUUGCAAGGCUAGACCUUAAGAUCCCUUGCAGCUUCUUCACCCUCUUGGAAUUCCAUCCUGAGACCACCAGGCCAGGAAGCUGGUCUACCCUACAGGAGGAUGGAGGUGAACGGAGGCGCCCUAGCUGACAGCCAGACCAGCUGCCAGACAUGUGAGCAAAUCCAUCUUGGACCUUCCAGCCUGGUCAACUUUUAAGCUUAAGCAAGUGCUUAAUAAAUAAGCCCAGUAGAGGACCAUUCCAGCCAACCCAUAGAAACAUGAGAAAUAAUAAAUUGUGAUUUAAGCCACCAAGUUUUGGGGUAGUUUGUUAUGUACCAAUAAUUAACCGAUACAGG
rnacentral:lncRNA from 1 species